rnacentral:lncRNA from 1 species
UAUCUUUAGGGUUAGAUUUUGAAAUCUUACCUUCAUUUUUUUCUUUUUCAAAUUGACCCAUAUAUGUUUAGUAACUAUCUAAUAACUUGAUUUCUAAGUUUUUUUUUAAGUUUAAGAAAGUGUUUUUUUUUGCAUAUUUAAUUGAUUUUAGAGUCUCGAAGACUCACAUAAGACUUAAAAAGAAGUCUUUAGACAAAUCCCGCCUAAAUUUUAGUAGAAUUUAUGGUGCCCGCCAAAAUUUUGGAGUAAUUUAGGUUUCCUUCGUAAAUCAAAGUCUUCC